UUACAACCCGAAGGCCUUCNUCCUGCACGCGGCAUUGCUGGAUCAGGCUUGCGCCCAUUGUCCAAAAUUCCCCA
rnacentral:rRNA from 1 species